rnacentral:miRNA from 1 species
CUCGUUUUGACGAUCGCAAAAUG